CUUGGCGACCAUAGCGAUUUGGACCCACCUGAUUUCCAUGCCGAACUCAGAAGUGAAACGAAUUAGCGCCGAUGGUAGUGUGGGGCUUCCCCAUG
rnacentral:rRNA from 1 species